GAGGGGCGGUGUGGGAGCCUGGGCUGAGCCACUCACUUGCUUUCUCCUGGUGCAGGACGCACGUGGUCCGGCAUUACAAGGUGAAGCGGGAGGGCCCCAAGUACGUGAUCGAUGUGGAACAGCCGUUCUCUUGCACCUCCCUGGACGCCGUGGUCAACUAUUUCGUGUCGCAUACCAAAAAGGCGCUGGUGCCAUUCCUGUUAGACGAGGACUACGAGAAGGUGCUAGGU
rnacentral:lncRNA from 1 species